rnacentral:rRNA from 1 species
UUUACACAUGCAAGUCGAACGGCAGCACGGGGGCUUGCUCCUGGUGGCGAGUGGCGAACGGGUGAGUAAUGCGUCGGAACGUAUCCAUUAAUGGGGGAUAACGCAGCGAAAGCUGUGCUAAUACCGCAUACGCCCUGAGGGGGAAAGCAGGGGAUCUUCGGACCUUGCGUUAUUGGAGCGGCCGACGUCUGAUUAGCUAGUUGGUGGGGUAAAGGCCUACCAAGGCGACGAUCAGUAGCUGGUCUGAGAGGAUGAUCAGCCACACUGGAACUGAGACACGGUCCAGACUCCUACGGGAGGCAGCAGUGGGGAAUUUUGGACAAUGGGCGCAAGCCUGAUCCAGCCAUUCCGCGUGAGUGAAGAAGGCCUUCGGGUUGUAAAGCUUUUUCGGCAGGGAAGAAACAGUUGAGGCUAAUAUCCUUGACCAAUGACGGUACCUGCAUAAGAAGCACCGGCUAACUACGUGCCAGCAGCCGCGGUAAUACGUAGGGUGCGAGCGUUAAUCGGAAUUACUGGGCGUAAAGCGUGCGUAGGCGGUUUUUCAAGUCUGAUGUGAAAGCCCCGGGCUUAACCUGGGAACUGCGUUGGAAACUGAAAGACUAGAGUACGGCAGAGGGGGGUAGAAUUCCACGUGUAGCAGUGAAAUGCGUAGAUAUGUGGAGGAAUACCGAUGGCGAAGGCAGCCCCCUGGGUCGAUACUGACGCUCAUGCACGAAAGCGUGGGUAGCAAACAGGAUUAGAUACCCUGGUAGUCC